UACGUAGGGGGCAAGCGUUGUCCGGAUUUAUUGGGCGUAAAGAGCGUGUAGGCGGCCAGUCAGGUCCGUUGUGAAAACUCGAGGCUCAACCUCGAGACGCCGAUGGAAACCGACUGGCUAGAGUCCGGAAGAGGAGAGUGGAAUUCCCGGUGUAGCGGUGAAAUGCGCAGAUAUCGGGAAGAACACCCGUGGCUAAGGCGGCUCUCUAGUACGGUACUGACGCUGAGACGCGAAAGCGUGGGGAGCGAACAGGAUUAGAUACCCUGGUAGUCCACGCCGUAAACGAUGGGUGCUAGGUGUGGGGGGUGUCGACUCCCUCCGUGCCGAAGCUAACGCAUUAAGCACCCCGCCUGGGGAGUACGGCCGCAAGGCUAAA
rnacentral:rRNA from 1 species